ensembl:lncRNA novel transcript
CCCUUUUCUGGAUUAGGAAGUUUACAUUUUAAAGAUGCAAGAAGGCACUAAACAAGGGCAGUGAGGUACAACAAGCUCUGUGGUUUUAUUUCUCCUAAAUGGGAGGAAACAUAGAGAGGAAGAAAAGUAUGCAAUCUCAGUUGCAAAUGGAGGCAGGGGCUCACCAUGUUCUCUGAUACGAUUGUACCGCCCAUUGGUAAGAAUCAGAGGCUGAAAAGAUUCUGUUACUGAAACUCAACACUUAGUUGAUACCUGCUACAACUUUAACUACUCGUUGACUGUUUACGGCUUUUGCUGUAAGUUGGAGUAUGGUGACAAACACACAAGAGUCUAAAAACUCAAACGUAUCUAAAAGCCAUGACACAGAAGGCCUGGAGACUGCAUGGAAUGAUGAGGACUGCAGUGAACUCUGAAGUGCCUACCCAUGUGAAACGAACAAGUGCUAUUCGGAAGAAGCAGGUUGUGUUAAUAUCUCCCUAUUACCUGAGACACAAUAUUAUGGAAAUUGGGUUAAUUAAUAACCCUACAGUAACCUCUAAACAUUCAAAUGGAAGGAAGAAUCUCAUCUCUCUCACUUUAAAGCAAAAGCUAUGAAUGAUUAAGCUUAGUGAGGAGGGCAUAUCAAAAGCCAAGAUAGGCCGAAAGCUAGGUCCCUUGUGCCAAACAGCCAAUUCGUGAAUGCAAAGGAAAAGUUAUUGAAGAAAACUAAAAGUGCUCCUCCAGCAAACACACAAUGAUAAGAAAGUGAGAAACUCCUAUUGUUGAUGUGGAGAAAGGUUGAAUGGUCUAGAUAGAAGGUCAAACAAGCCAGAUUUCCUUAAUCCAAAGCCUAAUCCAGAAUAAGACUCUAACUCUCUUCAAUUCUAUGAAUGCUGAAAGAAAGAGAUGAGGAAGCUGAUGAAGAAAAAUUUGAAGCCAGCAGAGGUUGGUUCAUGAGGCUUAAAGAAAGAAGCCAUCUCCAAAACACGAAAGUGCAAAGUGAAGAAGCAAGUGCUGAUACAGAAAUUGCAGCAACCUAUCCAGAAGAUCCAGCUAAGACCUUUGAUGAGUGUAGCUACAUUAAACAAUAUAUUUUCUAUGUAGACAAAACAGCCUUCAAUUAGAAGAUAAUGCCAUCAAGAACUUUCACAGAAAAGAGAGGUCAAUGACUGGCCUCAAAGCUUCAAAGGACAGGCUGACUCUCUAAUAGGUGAAAGGGAGUUGCCUCGUCUCAUGAGACUUUGGACUGUGGACUUUUGAGUUAAUGCUGAAAUGAGUUAAGACUUGGGGGACUGUUGAGAAGGGAUGAUUGUAUUUUGCAAUAUGAGAAGGACAUGAGAUGUGGGAGGGGCCAGGGCUGAAAUGAUAUGGUUUGGAUUUGCGUCCCUGCCCAAAUCUCAUGUAGAAUUGUAAUCCCCAGUGUUGGAGAAGGGGCCUGGUGGGAGGUGAUUGGAUCAUGGGGGAGGAUUGCCCCCUUGCUGUUCUUGUGAUAUUGAGUGAGUUCUCAGGAGAUCUGGCUGAUUAAAAGUGUGUAGCACCUCCCCCUGUGCUGUCUUCCUCCCACUCCAGCCAUGUAAGACGUGCUUGCUUUUCCCUCACCCUCAGCCAUGAUUCUAAGUUUCCUGAGGCCUCCCCAGCCAUGCUUCAUGUACAGCCUGUGGAACCAUGCACCAAUUAAACCUCUUGUCUUUAUAAA